rnacentral:rRNA from 1 species
AUUGAACGCUGGCGGCAUGCCUUACACAUGCAAGUCGAACGGCAGCACGGGAGCAAUCCUGGUGGCGAGUGGCGAACGGGUGAGUAAUAUAUCGGAACGUGCCCAGUCGUGGGGGAUAACGUAGCGAAAGCUACGCUAAUACCGCAUACGAUCUAUGGAUGAAAGCGGGGGUCGCAAGACCUCGCGCGAUUGGAGCGGCCGAUAUCAGAUUAGGUAGUUGGUGAGGUAAAGGCUCACCAAGCCGACGAUCUGUAGCUGGUCUGAGAGGACGACCAGCCACACUGGGACUGAGACACGGCCCAGACUCCUACGGGAGGCAGCAGUGGGGAAUUUGGACAAUGGGCGCAAGCCUGAUCCAGCAAUGCCGCGUGCAGGAUGAAGGCCUUCGGGUUGUAAACUGCUUUGUACGGAACGAAACGGUGAGCUCUAAUACAGUUUGCUAAUGACGGUACCGUAAGAAUAAGCACCGGCUAACUACGUG